AGGGGGCGCAGCGCAGGGAGCUGGUGCUGGAGGUGCUCCAGGGCCGGCGAGUGCCCGUGUCCCUGUGGAUCCUGGGGGGCAGCGCCCUGGGGGGGCUCCUGCUGCUGGCGCUGCUCAGCCUCGGCCUCUGGAGGCUGGGAUUCUUCUCCCGCCCGAAGCCGCCCCAGGAAGAGGAGGAGGAAGAGGAGCAGCAGCAGCAGCACUGAAGCCCUUCCCGAUCCUUGAGGACAUUCCCAGGAUGUCCAGGGUUCAUCCCGGGAUUCUGCCGCCCCCCCCUCGGCUCCAUCCCGGUGGGGGGGGGUGGGAUUGGGCUGGCGGGGGGAUGGAUGAGCAGGUGAGGCCGGAGCCACCCCCUCCCACCACCACCCAGGAUUUGGGAGGGAGACACACACACAUGGAAGUGGGAAAAAAGCCGGGAAUGAGUCGGGAUGGACGGAGCAGCUCCAGCAAUAAAACUCCGGGCCGUGCUCCC